rnacentral:rRNA from 1 species
GGGUGAAAUCUAGAGUUGUUAAGUAAUGAAGUUUUAAUUUAAGAAAUUUUGAGGCUAUUAAGAUUUUGGUAUAAAACAGGAUUAGAUACCCUGCUAUAUUAGAUUGAAAUUAAAUCUCUUGAGUAGUAAUCAGUUAUGUUCUUGAAACUUAAAGGAUUUGGCGGUAUUUUAGUCUUGUUAGAGGAACCUGUUCUGUAAACGAUACACCACGAAUUAUCUUACUUUUUCUAGUAGUUCAGUUUGUAUACCGCCAUUAUUAGAUAGUUUUUAUAAAAUCUAUUAUAAUAGUCAUUGAGCUAAUAUAUUAGGUCAAGGUGCAGCUAAUGUGAAAGAAGUUAAUGGGUUACAAUAAUAUUAGUAUAUUACGGAUAAGAAACUUAAUGUUUUUUUGAAGGUGGAUUUAAUAGUAAAUUUAUUUUAAUAAGUUGUUUUGAUAAAAGCUCUAGAAUAUGUA